rnacentral:rRNA from 1 species
UACGUAGGGUGCGAGCGUUGUCCGGAAUUACUGGGCGUAAAGAGCUUGUAGGUGGUUUGUCGCGUUGUUCGUGAAAUCUCACGGCUUAACUGUGAGCGUGCGGGCGAUACGGGCAGACUAGAGUACUGCAGGGGAGACUGGAAUUCCUGGUGUAGCGGUGGAAUGCGCAGAUAUCAGGAGGAACACCGGUGGCGAAGGCGGGUCUCUGGGCAGUAACUGGCGCUGAGAAGCGAAAGCGUGGGGAGCGAACAGG